rnacentral:rRNA from 1 species
AAAUGAAUUGACGGGGACCCGCACAAGCAGUGGAGCAUGUGGUUUAAUUCGAAGCAACGCGAAGAACCUUACCAGGGCUUGACAUAUUGAUUACUACCCUCUAGGAAACUAGAGGAGACUAUAAAUACAGGUGGUGCAUGGUUGUCGUCAGCUCGUGUCGUGAGAUGUUGGGUUAAGUCCCGCAACGAGCGCAACCCCUUUCCUUAGUUGCCAUCAUUCAGUUGGGAACUCUAGGGAUACUGCCGAUGUAAGUCGGAGGAAGGUGGGGAUGACGUCAAAUCAUCAUGCCCUUUAUGUCCUGGGCGACACACGUGCUACAAUGGCCGGUACAAAGAGACGCCACAUCGCGAGGUGAAGCAAAUCUCAUAAAGCCGGUCUCAGUUCGGAUUGGAGUCUGCAACUCGACUCCAUGAAGCCGGAAUUGCUAGUAAUCGCGAAUCAGCCAUGUCGCGGUGAAUACGUUCCCGGGUCUUGUACACACCGCCCGU